AGUCCAGCCGCAGGGGCCACCCGAACAGUCUCUCCUCCUCACAGAAGCCUGGAGCUGGGCAUCCAAGAAGAAGCAGCCUCAUUUGUUUUCUGGUGUCAUCGUAGGUGGCCACCUAUGGCUUUUGGGCUUCUCACCUGGGGCGGGUGGGUUCUGCACCACCCUCCCACCCUCCUUCCUCCGUGUGGACGAUAGAGCCACAUCCAGCACCACGGACAGCUCCCGGGCGAUCCCAUGGGAGUAGAAGAGGUGUGAGCAGGUUGCCCAGCUGGUUAGCGGAAAUGCCAAGAUCCAGGCUCCUGAAUUUCAGCCUGGCCCUUUCUAUCUGUCUGAUACCUCCUUUACGAGUCUCUCUGCCUGCGUUGUGUGGAGCGGGCCUGCUGCUGGUUGGGGGAGUUUGCAGGUUGCCCCUAUGCAAAAAAGGACAGGAUGCAUGACUGGCAUCACUGGAAGCUGAGGGUUUUGACAGCGGCAGGCCACAUAGGCAAGGAAGCUGGUGCAUGCAGUGUCUCUGGGCAAGGUUAUGCAACCUUCAUCUCCUCGUCCUCCAGGCAGCACAAGCCAUUGUGGAAUCUCCACCAGGUGUACAGAACGGUGCCUCUGCGUCCUGCCACUCAGGACCUCUCAAGUCCCCGAUGUGAUGGCUCCUCAGCAUGAUCAGGAACCAAAAAGAAGAAUGUACUUCAUCUGGUUGGGCUGGAUUCCCUCUGAUAAGCCUUCCCAGUUGACUGAAAGAUGAGGCUAGGCUCUAGCAAGUUGAAGUCAAACCAGCUCCUUCAAGAAGCUUUGAGCAGAAUGAAGUGGGGAGGACCCAGCUUCCAGCCCAGGAAGCCCACUGUACCUGGAGCCAUCUGGGAUAAGACUUUGACCCAUGACUCCCAUAUCCACAGCCUGUCCAUCCUAGCCCAUCCCAGUUUAUCCUGUAUCAUUUGAGCUGGGAUUCCCACAUCCUCUGAGUUGGAAGUCCCAUCUCAAGUCUUCAAUAAAGACUCUUGAAUAUUGAAUCACA
rnacentral:lncRNA from 1 species